UUGUCUUUGCAGGUCAUUGAUGUUGUUUUCUAUAGUUCAUGAAGAUUUGAUCAAGAGGACUUCCUCACAAGUUUCAAAAAAGAAGAAGGAUCAUGUAGUAUCAGUGUUACUACAUUCAUAACCUAAGGGUGGAGACUCAAGGUUCGAUGAAUGUCUUUAUGAUGAUCUCCAUCGAUCCUCUGUUUUCUUCAGUCAAGAUCGAUGUCACAAGAUAUUGAAUCUAAGGCUAUCAAGCCACUGAGACACCUUCGGAGAAAAUUUAUAGGAGGAUUUAUAUAUAUUGAAGAGAGGAACAGAGAGGUAUUAGGCUAUUAGCAGCAAACUUUAGAAACGACCACGGACUGAGUCGCCUCAUCCCUCAGGAUACUUAAAUAUAACAGUUAUGGAGGAUGAACACAAACUUUAGGAUUUCAAGUAAGGAGUUGUAUUUUCGACGGACUUUUUUACGUUUGGUGUUUAAUUUCCACAAGGUACCAAACCUCCUUUGUUGCUCUUACUCUUUUUAUAUUUGGUUUCUCUAACUGCUUCUUUGGAUCAUUUAACCCUUAAAGUUUAGCUUAUGAUGUUGUAUAACCACUGAUUUCGAAUAAACCUGGGAUGUUGCUUCGUCAUUUCUCUGCUUAGAAGUUUUGAACAAGUUUAGUGUAAAUGUUUUUAAUGGUAAUCUGAAGA